CCUACGGGAGGCAGCAGGGAUGAAUAUUGGACAAUGGGCGCAAGCCUGAUCCAGCCAUGCCGCGUGCAGGAAGACGCAUCUAUGGUGUGUAAACUGCUUUUGUACAGGAAGAAACACUACCUCGUGAGGUAGCUUGACGGUACUGUAAGAAUAAGGAUCGGCUAACUCCGUGCCAGCAGCCGCGGUAAUACGGAGGAUCCAAGCGUUAUCCGGAAUCAUUGGGUUUAAAGGGUCCGUAGGCGGUUUAAUAAGUCAGUGGUGAAAUCUGGUCGCUCAACGAUCAAACGGCCAUUGAUACUGUUAGACUUGAAUUACUUGGAAGUAACUAGAAUAUGUAGUGUAGCGGUGAAAUGCUUAGAUAUUACAUGGAAUACCAAUUGCGAAGGCAGGUUACUACGAGUGUAUUGACGCUGAUGGACGAAAGCGUGGGGAGCGAACAGGAUUAGAUACCCUGGUAGUCCACGCCGUAAACGAUGGAUACUAGCUGUUCGGAGCAAUCUGAGUGGCUAAGCGAAAGUGAUAAGUAUCCCACCUGGGGAGUACGUUCGCAAGAAUGAAACUCAAAGGAAUUGACGGCUGAGAGAGCGAGACGACGACGAGGGGAGGAGG
rnacentral:rRNA from 1 species